GACAGAGGUGCCAAGCGUUAGGCGGAAUCACUGGGCUUAAAGCGUGUGUAGGCGGAAUGGUAAGUACCUUGUGAAAUCCCACGGCUCAACCGUGGAACUGCUGGGUAUACUGCUUUUCUUGAGCCACUUAGGGGCUGUCGGAACAAACGGUGGAGCGGUGAAAUGCGUAGAGAUCCGGAGGAACACCGACGGCGCAGGCAGCGUCCUGGCCGCUUGCUGACACUGAGGCACGAAAGCUGGGGGAGCAAACAGG
rnacentral:rRNA from 1 species